AAUAAAAAUCGCCGCGUCUCCGCUUCGGUGGUUUGGCGGCAGCGCGACGGCAACGCGGCGACCUCCCCGGCAGCGGCUUUCCGCUCCAACAGCCGCCUUCUCGCCGUUUUAAGACAUGUGAGAUUUGAUUGGGAUAGAAGAUCAUCCUCAGUUUGCCUUUAGCAAGUGAUGUGAUUGGAGUAGAAGAUCUACACUCAAAAGGAUGUCACAAAAUCAAAGCUCGCUACCAUGGUCUGACCUCCCUCCAGACCUCCUCGGCUUGGUGUUCCUUCGUCUUCCUACCCGCGUCGACCGAGCCUUCUUUCCUGUCGUACGUUUGCCGCCAGUGGGCCUCCGCGGCGCGGCAGUGCCGCCUGCCCCUGCCGUUGCUCGUGCUUCCCAGUGGCAACGUCAUCAGCUUCCCUGAUAGCAAGACCUUCGUGGUGCCGGACGGCGUGCGCUACCACAACUCUUGUGGCGAGUGGCUUCUCUUGUCGCUCGAUGACAACAGCUGCUUCUUGAUGAACCCCUGGUCUUCAUACAGCUACUCUCUGUUACGCGGAUACUCCUAGAAGGUGGCGUAUCCGUAUCCGAUAUGUAUCGGAUACAGAUACGCUCCGGAUACGCCUCGGAUACGUUCCUAGCCGUAUCUUGAAAAAACGGAUACGUAUUUGCUUGGAUACGCGUAUCCGAUACUUUUGGGCCAGAUGGAAUACAGCCCAAAGCAGUAAUCAGCCCACCCAAAUGCUAUUUUGAUAGUAAGAGAUGA